GGCGGGCACGCGCAGCGCGCCACGUCCCUCCCUCUCGGCGCUGGGGCAGCAUGGCGGCGGGGUCGCGGCGAGCAUGGCGUCGAGCAAGGGUAAAAACACUCACCUACCUGCCUGGCAAGCUGAUUCCUUCACUGAACAGACAGUAAACCUGCACCAGCUGCAUCAUGGAGGAAAUCAUCCUGCAGAAUCCUGAGGUUCUAUCUUCUCCCAAAGAUGGCUUUGUCAAGAUGGCAGCUGCUGAGUUGGGCUGCAGACUGAAGAUCUAUAACAUUCACUGACAAGCUGAAGCGGAAGACUUGACGACAGUGGAUUUCCUUAAGAAAUCAAGAAGCAGCAGAAGGAAGAUGGUUCUGGAGAGGCUCUUGCAAACGGCCACUGAUGCAUCAGUCAGAACAGUGUAAAAUGGCCUCGUGUGCAUAACCGCAGGCUCGUCCUCAGUGCUCAGGGGUUGCUGCAACCGCAUUGUUGGACCUGAUCUACAGCUGGCUGGAAGAAAAGGUGGCUCCCUGCUGUCUUCUGUUCCUGAAUAAAAUAAGCUAUGGAAAA